GUUUUCUUAAUAUAAUUAGUAUAUCUGACUUCCAAUCAGAAAGUCUAGAGCUUCUAGAGAAAACA
rnacentral:tRNA from 1 species